GUGGGCACUCUAAGGAGACUGCCGGUGACAAACCGGAGGAAGGUGGGGAUGACGUCAAGUCAUCAUGGCCCUUACGGCCUGGGCUACACACGUGCUACAAUGGUCGGUACAAAGGGUUGCCAAGCCGCGAGGUGGAGCUAAUCCCAUAAACCGAUCGUAGUCCGGAUCGCAGUCUGCAACUCGACUGCGUGAAGUCGGAAUCGCUAGUAAUCGUGAAUCAGAAUGCCACGGUGAAUACGUUCCCGGGCCUU
rnacentral:rRNA from 1 species